GGGUUGUGAGGUUAAGCGACUAAGCGUACACGGUGGAUGCCCUGGCAGUCAGAGGCGAUGAAGGACGUGCUAAUCUGCGAUAAGCGUCGGUAAGGUGAUAUGAACCGUUAUAACCGGCGAUUUCCGAAUGGGGAAACCCAGUGUGAUUCGUCACACUAUCAUUAACUGAAUCCAUAGGUUAAUGAGGCGAACCGGGGGAACUGAAACAUCUAAGUACCCCGAGGAAAAGAAAUCAACCGAGAUUCCCCCAGUAGCGGCGAGCGAACGGGGAGCAGCCCAGAGCCUGAAUCAGUGUGUGUGUUAGUGGAAGCGUCUGGAAAGGCGUGCGAUACAGGGUGACAGCCCCGUACACAAAAAUGCACAUGCUGUGAGCUCGAUGAGUAGGGCGGGACACGUGGUAUCCUGUCUGAAUAUGGGGGGACCAUCCUCCAAGGCUAAAUACUCCUGACUGACCGAUAGUGAACCAGUACCGUGAGGGAAAGGCGAAAAGAACCCCGGCGAGGGGAGUGAAAAAGAACCUGAAACCGUGUACGUACAAGCAGUGGGAGCACGCUUAGGCGUGUGACUGCGUACCUUUUGUAUAAUGGGUCAGCGACUUAUAUUCUGUAGCAAGGUUAACCGAAUAGGGGAGCCGAAGGGAAACCGAGUCUUAACUGGGCGUUAAGUUGCAGGGUAUAGACCCGAAACCCGGUGAUCUAGCCAUGGGCAGGUUGAAGGUUGGGUAACACUAACUGGAGGACCGAACCGACUAAUGUUGAAAAAUUAGCGGAUGACUUGUGGCUGGGGGUGAAAGGCCAAUCAAACCGGGAGAUAGCUGGUUCUCCCCGAAAGCUAUUUAGGUAGCGCCUCGUGAAUUCAUCUCCGGGGGUAGAGCACUGUUUCGGCAAGGGGGUCAUCCCGACUUACCAACCCGAUGCAAACUGCGAAUACCGGAGAAUGUUAUCACGGGAGACACACGGCGGGUGCUAACGUCCGUCGUGAAGAGGGAAACAACCCAGACCGCCAGCUAAGGUCCCAAAGUCAUGGUUAAGUGGGAAACGAUGUGGGAAGGCCCAGACAGCCAGGAUGUUGGCUUAGAAGCAGCCAUCAUUUAAAGAAAGCGUAAUAGCUCACUGGUCGAGUCGGCCUGCGCGGAAGAUGUAACGGGGCUAAACCAUGCACCGAAGCUGCGGCAGCGACGCUUAUGCGUUGUUGGGUAGGGGAGCGUUCUGUAAGCCUGUGAAGGUGUACUGUGAGGUAUGCUGGAGGUAUCAGAAGUGCGAAUGCUGACAUAAGUAACGAUAAAGCGGGUGAAAAGCCCGCUCGCCGGAAGACCAAGGGUUCCUGUCCAACGUUAAUCGGGGCAGGGUGAGUCGACCCCUAAGGCGAGGCCGAAAGGCGUAGUCGAUGGGAAACAGGUUAAUAUUCCUGUACUUGGUGUUACUGCGAAGGGGGGACGGAGAAGGCUAUGUUGGCCGGGCGACGGUUGUCCCGGUUUAAGCGUGUAGGCUGGUUUUCCAGGCAAAUCCGGAAAAUCAAGGCUGAGGCGUGAUGACGAGGCACUACGGUGCUGAAGCAACAAAUGCCCUGCUUCCAGGAAAAGCCUCUAAGCAUCAGGUAACAUCAAAUCGUACCCCAAACCGACACAGGUGGUCAGGUAGAGAAUACCAAGGCGCUUGAGAGAACUCGGGUGAAGGAACUAGGCAAAAUGGUGCCGUAACUUCGGGAGAAGGCACGCUGAUAUGUAGGUGAAGUCCCUCGCGGAUGGAGCUGAAAUCAGUCGAAGAUACCAGCUGGCUGCAACUGUUUAUUAAAAACACAGCACUGUGCAAACACGAAAGUGGACGUAUACGGUGUGACGCCUGCCCGGUGCCGGAAGGUUAAUUGAUGGGGUUAGCGCAAGCGAAGCUCUUGAUCGAAGCCCCGGUAAACGGCGGCCGUAACUAUAACGGUCCUAAGGUAGCGAAAUUCCUUGUCGGGUAAGUUCCGACCUGCACGAAUGGCGUAAUGAUGGCCAGGCUGUCUCCACCCGAGACUCAGUGAAAUUGAACUCGCUGUGAAGAUGCAGUGUACCCGCGGCAAGACGGAAAGACCCCGUGAACCUUUACUAUAGCUUGACACUGAACAUUGAGCCUUGAUGUGUAGGAUAGGUGGGAGGCUUUGAAGUGUGGACGCCAGUCUGCAUGGAGCCGACCUUGAAAUACCACCCUUUAAUGUUUGAUGUUCUAACGUUGACCCGUAAUCCGGGUUGCGGACAGUGUCUGGUGGGUAGUUUGACUGGGGCGGUCUCCUCCUAAAGAGUAACGGAGGAGCACGAAGGUUGGCUAAUCCUGGUCGGACAUCAGGAGGUUAGUGCAAUGGCAUAAGCCAGCUUGACUGCGAGCGUGACGGCGCGAGCAGGUGCGAAAGCAGGUCAUAGUGAUCCGGUGGUUCUGAAUGGAAGGGCCAUCGCUCAACGGAUAAAAGGUACUCCGGGGAUAACAGGCUGAUACCGCCCAAGAGUUCAUAUCGACGGCGGUGUUUGGCACCUCGAUGUCGGCUCAUCACAUCCUGGGGCUGAAGUAGGUCCCAAGGGUAUGGCUGUUCGCCAUUUAAAGUGGUACGCGAGCUGGGUUUAGAACGUCGUGAGACAGUUCGGUCCCUAUCUGCCGUGGGCGCUGGAGAACUGAGGGGGGCUGCUCCUAGUACGAGAGGACCGGAGUGGACGCAUCACUGGUGUUCGGGUUGUCAUGCCAAUGGCACUGCCCGGUAGCUAAAUGCGGAAGAGAUAAGUGCUGAAAGCAUCUAAGCACGAAACUUGCCCCGAGAUGAGUUCUCCCUGACUCCUUGAGAGUCCUGAAGGAACGUUGAAGACGACGACGUUGAUAGGCCGGGUGUGUAAGCGCAGCGAUGCGUUGAGCUAACCGGUACUAAUGAACCGUGAGGCUUAACCUUACAACGCCGAAGGUGUUU
rnacentral:rRNA from 1 species